CCCAACACCGGAAAGAGUCAACUUAAAUGGCCGCAGUUAAUCAUUGCCAUUGUCAUCGUCCGACUAUGUUGAUAACUUCUUGGACUGAUUUGAAUUCUGGUCGUCGAUUUGUCAAACUGCAAGAGUAAGUAAUUGAGAGUAAGUAGUUGAUAACUUCUUGGACUGUGUUAAAUUUAUACUGAUGGAUACUAAGUGCUAGUAAUGAUAGUUUUUUAUGAUAUGUUUCUGCAUUAGUGUUAAUUGUACUUUGAUGAUUAUUAUGUAUACACUGGAAAACAUUGUAGUAUAUAUUAGCAUGUUAGUUUAUGUGUGACAGCUGGGCACUUAUUGAUGUUAAUUUUUUUUUGACAGCCUCAUGGUUGCGGGUAUUUCAUGUGGUAUGAUCCUCCGAUGCAGCCGAGAGCCAUUCAAGUGAUUCCUGGUUUGUUGAGGAAAUUGAGGGCUCUUGAAAAUGAAGCUCAAAAUAAUAGA
rnacentral:lncRNA from 1 species